AAUGCGUGCUCCUUCCAUCCCCCUUUGGGAUGCAUUUGUUUUGCUAGAAGAUCUUAACAACCCUUGUGAUGGUUCUUCAGUACAACUGACCAUUUGUGUUCAGCAACUUGAUGGUUGUACAGUCAAAGGUAUUGAGUCAUUCACGUGUGAGAAUAACUUGUCUACUUAUUAGCCUUUAAUGUUCUGGUGUGAACACGUUUAUUGUUACCUUUUUAUUGUCAGGAUUUGACUGUUUUUAUUCCAA